AACGAACGCUGGCGGCGCGCCUAAUACAUGCAAGUCGAGCGAGAAGACGUAGCAAUACGUUUGUAAAGCGGCGAACGGGUGAGGAAUACAUGGGUAACCUACCCUCGAGUGGGGAAUAACUAGCCGAAAGGUUAGCUAAUACCGCGUACGCUCCUUGGACUUCGAUUCAGGGAGGAAAGCGAUACCGUGGGUAUCGCGCUCUUGGAUGGGCUCAUGUCCUAUCAGCUUGUUGGGAGGUAACGGCUCACCAAGGCUUCGACGGGUAGCUGGUCUGAGAGGACGAUCAGCCACACUGGCACUGCGACACGGGCCAGACUCCUACGGGAGGCAGCAGUAAGGAAUAUUGCGCAAUGGGCGAAAGCCUGACGCAGCGACGCCGCGUGGGGGAUGAAGGUCUUCGGAUUGUAAACCCCUUUCGGAGGGAAGAUGGAACGAGCAAUCGUUCGGACGGUCC
rnacentral:rRNA from 1 species